AGUGCAUGUGGUGGAUGCCGUUGGCGAUUACAGGCGAUGAAGGACGUUGUAGCCUGCGAAAAGCUGCGGGGAGCUGGCAAACAAGCUUUGAUCCGCAGAUGUCCGAAUGGGGAAACCCACUCCGCAAGGAGUAUCCCUGACUGAAUACAUAGGUCAGUGGAAGCGAACCCGGCGAACUGAAACAUCUAAGUAGCCGGAGGAAAAGAAAUCAACCGAGAUUCCCUAAGUAGUGGCGAGCGAACAGGGACCAGCCUGCAAGAGAUAACUAUUUUGUUAGUGGAACGCUCUGGAAAGUGCGGCCGUAGUGGGUGAUAGCCCCGUACGCGAAAACAAAGUAGCGAGACUAAGUUUUGCGACAAGUAGGGCGGGACACGUGAAAUCCUGUCUGAAGAUGGGGGGACCAUCCUCCAAGGCUAAAUACUCGUAAUCGACCGAUAGUGAACCAGUACCGUGAGGGAAAAGGCGAAAAGAACCCCGGGAGGGGAGUGAAAUAGAUCCUGAAACCGCAUGCAUACAAACAGUGGGAGC
rnacentral:rRNA from 1 species